rnacentral:lncRNA from 1 species
GGAAACUACUGCAAUCGAAUUCAAGUGUGGGAAAUCAUUUUAUGAUAAUAGUCUUGUUUAGUAUUUUGCGUGUUAUUUACUCGUAAAGUUAAUAACUGUAUUAAGCAGAAGUUAUACAAUCAUUUUUUCUUUGGUUGGUUUAACGUAUAAAUAAUAAUAUAGCCAGGCAUACAGUUUUCAUCUUCAGUAGAUAAUAACCCGUGUAGGAACAGAUAUGAUAUUUGGAAUGUAUACACAUAUUGUUUUUGUCACGUGUAUUACAAGCACGUGCGUAAGUUUGUCGUCAGAUUGGAAAUACUCGUCUGAAUUGGAUAUGCCCUACAUCCGACAACAUGGUUCCGUCCACAGUGCCACCAGAUGUAACGGAAGUACACAUAACUAUUGACAAAUCCAUAAGUUUUGAAGACAAGAUGUUCGCUGAUAAAAGCUGGGAGAAUAUAAGUGUGUUAGAAAUAACCGCAGAAAACAAUGUACAAUAUGAAAAUGUUAAAAUAUCGUUUUUACGUGGAUGUUUCAAAUCCUUAUCUAACCUUACAGAACUUCGUUUUCACGGCAACAGAUUAACAAUAACAUCUUUUAGUACAAAUACUCUCGCAAGCAAUGUACAUUUAAAAUUGCUAGAAUUUUCAUCGUGUCGAAUGAUGAAAUUUGAAGAUUUCCUAAACUCCACUUUAAGCGUAGACAUAACGAUAGAUAAACUUGAUGUCUUAGACGGAAGUUGUCACUUUUGUAAAAUUGAUGACAAGUUUAUCCAGAUGAUAGAGAAAUACGGUGUUAUGUAUUUAAAUCUAAGCAACUCUAACGUUGUUCUUCCAAGCAUCCCAGAUUUGCCAAAACGCCCUAAACAUUUGAGGAGCGUCGACCUUUCAGAUGUGUACUAUAGCGUCAGUGGUAAGAAUAUGGGUUGGCGCAGCAUUUAUGAAACAUAUGACAAACUCUCGGAUGGUCUCAUUUCUUUAAAUAUUUCUAAAUUUCCGCUUGAUCGCUACUGCCAAAACAGCAAAUAUGUUCGAAGUAAGAAAUAUUUCUCAUUGCGCUGAACUAAACUACCAUUUUAUCAAAUUCUUUUUUAAAAUUGAACACGUGUGUGCCGAUGCAAUUUUUAGAGAAAACACAGUUAGCAUAAACAACAUUUUCAUAAACGUUUCAACGUGUUCGGUGAAGUUGAAAACACUCCAGUUUAGACGAAACCGUGUAAAAAAAAUUAAUAUGACACUUUACUUACCUACACAUAACAACAUUACUGAGGUUGAUAUAUCAUUUAACGAAAUUACGUAUCUUUCUCCAUAUGCACUCAAUACUGCAACAUCUUUAUUGACUCUGGAUCUAAACAAUAACAAGUUAGGACAAAUGGAAAAUCUACCGGAAUUUGGCAAACUACUUCGUGAUUUAGACUCGUUGAAAUAUUUUAGUAUUGCUGGAAACAGAAUUUCAAAUUUACCUUACGACAUUUUUAGAGAUAACGCGUGUUUACAAGUCCUAGACUUGUCGGAAAAUAUAUUUGAGACAAUUACAUUCAGAGUAACUAAUUUGAACUAUUUACUUGUGCUAAAUUUAAGUUUGAAUCGUAUACAUUUCCUUGAGGGAAAAUCAGUAGAAACUGUUCAAGUAUAUUUAACACGGAAUAAUGAAAACAGAGGUUAUUCUAGAUUUUUCCGGAAACCCAAUUGAAUGUAGUUGUAAAAGUGUUAAUUUUAUAGAAUGGAUAAUAUCUGACUUACAACCGCGUUUGAAACAUAAGUACACGUGUGACAUGGAAGGUGAGGCAAUUGAAAUCGGUGACUUUUUCCUUGCAACAUUCAAAAUAUCUAUGUUACCGCACCGGUAUUUUUGUGGCUGUUUCUAUUUUUGCUGUGGUCAUAUUGUCAGGCUUUCUUUUGCUGAGGAAAUACUUGUCUAGAAGGAAAAACAUGCGAAGAGAAAAAAAUGCUCAGAAGUUUUUUCUUAAGCACUUUUUAAAGGGAAUAUUGCAGGAGCAAUAUCUUUGUCAGAUCUCAGUAUGCAAGUGAAGAUGAAAUAUGUGUUUUAGACACGAUAAAUCCUAAUUUGAAACGCGCUUUUAACAAUUAUGCUGCAAUUGAGCGUGAUUGUAUUUGUCUUGGAGACACGCAUUUCAAUUUGGGCCGUCCUAUUGUUAACGAAAUCCUACGGUGUAUUUCCAGGUCAUGUGUUAUGAUAUAUGUGAUCUCUAACUAUUUCUGUCAGAGUCAGUGGUGUGAAAUGGAAUUGCGGGAAGCAUAUGAAAUCAACAAACCAAUUAUAUUGAUUUUGAAAGAGGAAGUACCAGAAAAUAAAAUGUCACCCCUGUUGGCGGCUAUAUUUAUCCGGUAUACCAGAGCAAAACUUGUUAUCAAAGAUGGACACUAUGAGCUCAUUCCGGACUGGCAAUCUCUAUGUGAGUCAAUUAUCAAGUUAGCUGCAAACAGUUAUAUUGUCAAAGUAGAUAAUCACAAGAGAAAGAAGAACACAAAGCAGGAUGAUACAACCAAUGUUUAAAUGGCCAUUUACAUUGUUUUGUGUAAAUGCAUUUCAUUCAUGCUUAUACCGUAUUUUUCGUACUGAAAUACAGUAGAAUUAGAUAUAGUGAUAAUUUAGAAGAAUGAAAAAUUUGAAAAUAGAGUAAGCUUUGAAGUAUUUCCGAUAUUGAUUCACGUUUUAAUGUAACGUAACUUUUCGAGAAUAAGUAGACUUUAUCUCUAGGUUUUAUAUAUACUAUAAAUAAACACAAUCAAUUCGCA